ACGUUGACCUGGUCAUCUCAUCUUCUGCAAAAUAAAAUUGUUGAUUACUACUAACGUCACCAGACAUCUCUGUUCUUUUCACUUCCCCUGCCAACAUGGCUUUUCUCUGCUCUACACCACAGCUCUUCUUUGCCAUGUUCUUGCUAUCAUUCUCCUUUUCGAUGUGUUAUUCUAGAUAUGCCAUCGUGAAGGAUGACUACCAUCCCCAUGUUUCACCCGGAAAAAGAUUCGAACUGGGGUUUUUUACCCCAAAAGGAAGCUCUUCUAAUAUGAGGUACUUGGGCAUUUGGUAUUUCAACGUAUCACCAAAGAUUGUCGUAUGGGUUGCCAACCGCGAUAAACCACUGCUAAAUACCAAUGGAGUUCUUGUCGUUUCAGAUGAAGGACAACUUAAGCUAACGGAUGACAACGAUGAUUAUUGGACAGCCGACGGUGUUAGUGAUAUAAAGCCACCUGCCAAGAGGGAAGUGACGCUCAUGGAUUCUGGGAACCUUGUUUUGAGUGAUGUAUUCCAUAAUAGAAAUGGAACACAUGUAUGGCAAAGCUUUCUUAAUCCUACUAAUACAUUUCUUCCUGGUAUGAUCAUGACUAGCAAGAUGAAGUUGACUUCAUGGGCAAGUCAAAAUGACCCAGCACCGGGGAAUUUCACCUUCCUGCAGAUUGAUCCAAAAGGAGAAGCGUACCAGUACAUGAUACUGAGAGGGUUUUCAAACGUGAUACAUUGGAAAAGUAUAAGUCAAUCCUCAGAAUAUCCAUACAGCUUUAAUGAAAUUUCACCCGUCGCAUACGACUUGCUAACGAAUUUCAGCAGAAUUUCGAAGCAGUACUCUAAGAAGCUAUUACCAAAUGUGUCUAAUCACAUUAACAGCAGGCUGGUGAUGAGCGCCGAUGGACAGAUACAACUCCAUACGUGCUAUGAUGGCGUAGCUAACUGCUCUACUCUUUCGGAACCAAGUGAUCCUUGCCAUGUGUUUGAAGUUUGUGGUAAAUUUAGUGUCUGCAAUAGUAAGAAUGCCAUCUUGUGCAAGUGCUUACCUGGAUUUCUACCCAAAGACCAAAGUAGUUGGGACUCUGGAAACUUUACGGGUGGCUGCAAAAGUAGAUCAGAUAACCGCUGCCAUGCGGUAAAAGCCUUCAUAAACUUGAAAAAUAUUAAAGCAGGAAAGUUUGGUGAGAGUGUUCAUGCAGACGAUGAAGAAAAAUGUAGCAGUAAUUGCCAAGAUUGUCGCUGUGACGCUUAUUCAUUUGUAAAUGACUCCUACAGCAGAACACCAUUGUGCUGGAUAUGGACCGAUGGACUAGACAAUAUUCAAGAGGACAAUGGUCGUGGCCUUGACAUCAAUGUUCGUGUGGCUUUUUCUGAUACAGAAACGGGUUUAAGAAGCUGUAAGCCCUGUGGUGCAAAUCUAAUCCCCUAUCCUUUGAGCACAAGCUCUGGUUGUGGUGAUCCGAUAUACGGCAAUUUCACCUGUGAUACCGAUUAUGGGCAAGUUUUCUUUAAGGCAGGCGAUGACAAGAGACGAGUCACAAACAUCAAACCAGAAUACAAAAAGUUCUCUGUUCAUGUGGAAGAAUUGGAUUGUGAAAAGUUUAUCAUGAUGGUCAACCAGUCUUUAUCAUAUAAUGUCACCAGGGGAUGUAGUAGUGAGCAGAGUACUCUUCAUUCUAAUAUUUUCCCUUAUAAUUAUAGGAGACCAAUAGAGGUAGAACUCCAGUGGAAACCGCCAAGACCACCAGCUUGUGAUGAACCUGCGGACUGCACCGAUUGGCUAAAUUCACAUUGCGGUAAUGCAACAAAAGAAGAAAAAAGAAGGUGCACUUGCAAUGAGCAUUAUCAUUGGAAUUUGGAGCGUAUCUCGUGCGAUCCUUAUGAGGGAUUCGAAUCUUUGAAACAACCAAAAGGAUUUUCAUCAAAAAUCAAGUAUUAUGUAGUCAUCUUGGGGUCUAUAGCAAUUGCUUUGAGCAUCUCGUGCACUGCUUGUUCUGUAUAUUUCCUGAGACGAAAAAAUGUGGUCAACAUAACAGGAACUAGGGGAAGCAUUGAAGUAAAUCAAGCCGUUCACUUAUAUGACAGUGAGAGGAGUAUUGUAGACUUUAUACAGACAGGUCAAUUUAAAGAAGAAGAGAAGAAAAACAUAGACGUACCAUUUGUUGUCUUGGAAAGCAUACUGGUCGCUACAAAUAACUUUUCAGAAGAUAACAAGCUUGGACAAGGAGGGUUUGGCCCGGUUUAUAUGGGAAAAUUUCCAGGAGGACAUGAAAUUGCUAUAAAGAGGCUUUCCAGUGGAUCAGGACAAGGCUUGUUAGAAUUUAAAAAUGAGGUUACGUUGAUUGCUAAACUUCAGCAUCGGAAUCUUGUUCGACUGCUAGGCUAUUGUAUUCAAGGAGAUGAAAAAAUAUUACUCUAUGAAUACAUGCCCAACAAAAGCUUAGACCUAUUCAUAUUUGAUCGAACAUUAUGUGUGCUGCUGAAAUGGGAGAUGCGCUUUAACAUCAUACUAGGAAUUGCAAGAGGGCUUGUUUAUCUUCACCAUGAUUCAAGAUUAAGGAUUAUUCAUAGAGAUUUAAAAACAAGUAAUGUUCUACUAGAUGAAGAGAUGAACCCAAAAAUUUCUGAUUUUGGCUUGGCAAGAAUUUUUGGAGGCAAACAAACUGAAGCAACCACAGCCAGAGUAGUAGGAACAUAUGGUUAUAUGGCUCCAGAAUACGCAUUAGACGGAUUUUUCUCAAUCAAAUCCGACGUGUUCAGUUUUGGUGUUGUCAUCCUUGAGAUUAUUAGUGGGAAGAAAAACACAGGAUUUUAUCAGUCAAAUCAAGUUUUGAGCCUUCUAGGUUAUGCAUGGAAAUUGUGGAGAGAAAAUAGGGCAUUGGAUUUUCUGGAUGUAGCACUAAGCAAAACGUGUAAUGCAAAUGAAUUCUUGAGAUGUAUAAAUGUAGGACUAUUGUGCGUACAAGAAGACCCAGAUGAUCGUCCCACGAUGUCAAAUGCAGUCUUCAUGCUUGGGAGUGACACAGCAACGCUCCCAAAUCCUAAGCAACCAGCCUUUGUUGUCAGAAAAUCUCUUUCAUCUACAGGAUCUUCGAGUAAAGCAUUAUCCGUUAACGAGUUCACAGCUACGUUAGAACUUGGUCGUUGACAGUAGAGAUCUCUCUCCAAUGAGCCAAGUAAAAGUAAUUUUGGUGACAUAGGUGCAUUAAAAGAAAGGUGGUAGGGUUGAUUGGACGACCUUCCAACCUAGAAAAGGAGGUGGUCCUCGAAAUCCUAACGGAUUGGUACCACGGACCACUUCCCAAAUGAAGUCUGUGUGGGGCGUAUCCUUUGUGGCCCCAAGUCUCCGAGAAUCUUGCUGAAUUGUUAGCGAGAUUAUUCUUUGGGCUUUCCGAGAUGUUGGUGUGAAGGCUUCUUUCUCGAGCUUGGCCUCGGGGGCUUCCUAUACUCAUGGAGGGCACCGAGUCCCUUUCUUUGGUGAUUUACUCGGGUUACGAUGACUCCUCGGUGUGGUAAUACCUUUUUGAGGAUUCUUCGGAAGAUGUGCCAUAUAUGUGGUCAUGUGUCAGGAAUCUACGAAGUGGAAGCAUAUCUGAAAAAGGCUUGGAACAAUUUAAAAUACUAUUUUUUUAUUUCUUGAAGUGAUACAAUGCUUACUAGUUACUACCACCAUGGGCUAAUAUAGGUCAAAAUAAAAACUUAAAAGUAAUUCAUUAUUAUUAUUAAAAGAAGUGAAAGUUUUAGUAAUAAAGUUUUGCAGAUAAAAUAAGUGAAAUAGGGAAAGUAGCUGUGUUAUAUAAACGCUAAAAGAAUUCAUUUUAGAAAUCUAAAAGUCUGCUAGCAGUAUCCAUUUCAUUUUAGACAUCAAACCAUGAAACUAAAGAAAAAAUAUAUAAAUAAAGAAAACUAGCUAUUUUCCAAGUAAAAGAUUCUAUGAUAGUGAUUUAGAUAAAAUAUUUACAUUAAAAGGAUAAUACAUCUGAAUAGUUAUAUACAUACAUAUUAUUUUAUCUAUGUGGUAUUUUAUUAUUCCUUUAAAUCAUAACUGUUUUAACUGCUUUCAGUUAGAAGCUUUUCAGUUCUAUUUUAGCUAGGGCCUUCGGCUGGAACAGAGGACAAGAAGAGAGUAAAAGUGAUAUUCAGAAUCAAGAAGCAAGAGAGAGAGAAAGAGAGUGUAAGAUCAAAGAGUUUUGUAGUUGAGCUAACACUACUGUUGGAAAGUGUUAGGCUCAAGGGUGGGAUUGAGUGUUUGAGAUAUUUCUCUAUUGAAGACUCUUUAGUUGAAGAUCCACUUCUCAACUGUGUUGUACUCUUUGCUACAGACUUAUUCAAUAAAAGGAUAGUGUUCGAACUAGAUGUAGAGUCAAAGAUCACAUUGAUCUUUGUUCUUGAACCAGUAUAAUUCAUUUGUGUUUAGUUUAUAUGU